UGCAUUGAUUAACCUAAAACUUGCACCUUGAGACACGCAUUUCGUUGGCGAACAAACAUCAUCGAGCAAGAACUCUGGUAGAAAAAAGGUGAACUCUCUGUGACAAUUUCCCCCAACCCUCGUCAGUAAGUUGCUUAAAAGAAAAAAAUUAAUACAAACAAAAUACCCGUGGGACCCAGUUGUAAAGGACCGGGUAAGUGCCGGUAAGUGACUCUUGGUGGUAAACAAGACCGGUCUCAGUGGUAAGUGCCGGUACGCAUUGCCCGGAGAACAUCCAAAUCAAGCCCGAGUGGUAAGUGCCGGUAAGUUGCUCACAAAAUGACUGAGUACCUGCCUCCUAACUUGCUGGCGCUAUUUGCCCCGAGGGAGCCGAUUCCGUUUCUGCCGCCACCGGACAAACUUCCCCAUGAGAAGAAGAACCGUGGAUACUCGGGGGUGGGAGAAUUCCUCGCCUCCUUUGAAGACCCCCUGGACACGCCUGCCCCAAGGAAGGUCGAAACCCGCGAAGAACGUCUCGAUCGUCGCCGUAGAGAAAAAGAGGAGCAAGUCGCCUACAAAUUGGAGCAAGAAAUAGCAGUGUGGGACCCACAGAACCUACCCACGGCCACCUCCGACCCCUUCAAGACGCUCUUCGUGGCCCGCAUCAAUUACGAUUCGUCCGAGUCGAAGCUACGGCGCGAGUUUGAGGUGUACGGCCCCAUCAAGAAAAUUGUGGUGAGCCACAAUGUCAAUGAUGGCAAACCCCGAGGCUAUGCGUUCAUCGAGUACGAGCACGAGCGGGACAUGCACACUGCGUAUAAACACGCUGAUGGCAAGAAGAUCGAUGGUCGCCGCGUUCUGGUGGAUGUCGAACGCGCCCGGACGGUGAAGGGCUGGUUGCCCCGGCGUCUGGGUGGAGGCCUCGGAGGCACCCGACGUGGCGGCCCCGAAGUCAAUCUCAAGCACUCGGGCCGCGAGGACAAUGAAAGAGAGCGAGAGCGGUACCGGAUGGAGCGCGAACGGGACAUGCGUCCGGCCGAGUGGGACAGAGACCGCGACCGGCGCCGCUCGCGGAGCCGAGAACGCGGCGGUGGCAGCGAGCGUGGUGAGCGGCGCCGCCGUUCCCGCAGCAGGAGUCGUGAGAGGAGCGAACGGGGUGAGCGGAAGAGGCACCGUUCGCGCUCCAGGGAGGCCAGAGAGCGUCGACCCCCCGCUGAAGACUUGGAGGAAAACGGUUCCACUCGGGGCCGUGACCGCAAACGCUCGCGUCGCAGCCGCUCAAAGGACCGGACGGAGCGGAAGAAGGACAAGAAGCGCGACAGAGAAAGGGACAGAGAGUCUCGCAAGGAGCGGCGCGACCGGUACGCGGAGCCAGACGAGCCCCGAAUCAAGGAGGAGCCCAUCGACGACUACCCCGACUACUUGGAUCCCACGCCCGACUUUGCAGACGUGGACAACUACGGCAGUGCGGCCAUCAAGUACGAGCGCAUGUUGGCCAUGAGCGAGGCGGCGGCGGCGCAGCGUGCGGCAUCGAUGGCGCAGACCCAGGAGGACUACGAGGACAACCAGUACUAAAAAUCGGACGUAUCUCCGUCUGACAGAGCAGGAGUUUGACUCACUUCCCAUUGAUAUCCUUGCCCAGGGCAUCGUUAGCCUGUUUGUGACCAUGUACGGUUUGCUUCAUGUUGUCGGGGAAUUCAAAGAAAUCCGAGCCACCGU